rnacentral:rRNA from 1 species
GACGAACGCUGGCGGCGCGCCUAACACAUGCAAGUCGAACGAGAGAUGAAGAGCUUGCUCUUCAAAUCGAGUGGCGAACGGGUGAGUAACGCGUGAGGAACCUGCCUCAAAGAGGGGGACAACAGUUGGAAACGACUGCUAAUACCGCAUAAGCCCACGGCUCGGCAUCGAGCAGAGGGAAAAGGAGCAAUCCGCUUUGAGAUGGCCUCGCGUCCGAUUAGCUAGUUGGUGAGGUAACGGCCCACCAAGGCGACGAUCGGUAGCCGGACUGAGAGGUUGAACGGCCACAUUGGGACUGAGACACGGCCCAGACUCCUACGGGAGGCAGCAGUGGGGAAUAUUGCACAAUGGGGGAAACCCUGAUGCAGCGACGCCGCGUGAGCGAAGAAGUAUUUCGGUAUGUAAAGCUCUAUCAGCAGGGAAGAAGAAUGACGGUACCUGACUAAGAAGCACCGGCUAAAUACGUGCCAGCAGCCGCGGU